rnacentral:rRNA from 1 species
AUUGAACGCUGGCGGCAGGCCUAACACAUGCAAGUCGAGCGGAGCGGCGGACGGGUGGGUAAUGCCUAGGAAUCUGCCUGGUAGUGGGGGACAACGUCCGGAAACGGGCGCUAAUACCGCAUACUAUCAGAUGAGUCUAGGUGGGAUUAGCUAGUUGGUGGGGUAAAGGCUUACCAAGGCGACGAUCCGUCACUGGUCUGAGAGGAUGAUCAGUCACACUGGGACUGAGACACGGACCAGACUCCUACGGGAGGCAGCAGUGGGGAAUAUUGGACAAUGGGCGAAAGCCUGAUCCAGCCAUGCCGCGUGUGUGAAGAAGGUCUUCGGAUUGUAAAGCACUUUAAGUUGGGAGGCGUUACCAACAGAAUAAGCACCGGCUAACUUCGUGCCAGCAGCCGCGGUAAUAC